rnacentral:rRNA from 1 species
GACAGAGGAUGCAAGCGUUAUCCGGAAUGAUUGGGCGUAAAGCGUCUGUAGGUGGCUUUUCAAGUCCGCCGUCAAAUCCCAGGGCUCAACCCUGGACAGGCGGUGGAAACUACCAAGCUGGAGUACGGUAGGGGGCAGAGGGCUCGUAGAGCCGGUGGAGCGGUGAAAUGCGUAGAGAUCGGAAAGAACACCAAUGGCGAAAAGCACUCUGCUGGGCCGACACUGACACUGAGAGGCGAAAGCUAGGGGAGCAAAUGGG